UUCGGACUGGCUCAGGGAGGUCGGCAACGACCACCCAGAGCCGGAAAGUUCGUCAAACUUGGUCAUUUAGAGGAAGUAAAAGUCGUAACAAGGUUUCCGUAGGUGAACCUGCGGAAGGAUCAUUACAGAAAGUAAACGCGGAUCAAACCGCGAACUUCUAAACCUUUGACGAUUGACUCAUGUUGCCUCGGCGGGUUCUCCCGCCAGAGGAUACAUCAAAACUCCUGUUUUAACGGUGUUGUCUGAGCUACAAGCAACGAAUCAAAACUUUCAACAACGGAUCUCUUGGUUCUGGCAUCGAUGAAGAACGCAGCGAAAUGCGAUAAGUAGUGUGAAUUGCAGAAUUCAGUGAAUCAUCGAAUCUUUGAACGCACAUUGCGCCCCUUGGUAUCCCGAGGGGCAUGCCUGUUCGAGCGUCAUUUCACCACUCAAGCCUGGCUUGGUGUUGGGCGACGUCCCCAUUUGGGGACGCGCCUCGAAACGCUCGGCGGCGUGGCACCGGCUUUAAGCGUAGCAGAAUCUUUUCGCUUUGAAAGUCGGGGCCCCGUCCGCCGGAAGAUCUACUCGCAAGGUUGACCUCGGAUCAGGCAGGGAUACCCGCUGAACUUAAGCAUAUCAAUAAGCGGAGGAAAAGAAACCAACAGGGAUUGCCUCAGUAACGGCGAGUGAAGCGGCAACAGCUCAAAUUUGAAAUCUGGCUCUUUUAGGGUCCGAGUUGUAAUUUGCAGAGGAUGCUUCGGCGUGGGCUCCGGUCUAAGUUCCUUGGAACAGGACGUCAUAG
rnacentral:rRNA from 1 species